rnacentral:rRNA from 1 species
UGCUACAAUGGCCGGUACAACGGGGUGCGACACGGUGACGUGGGGCGGAUCCCUGAAAACCGGUCUCAGUUCGGAUCGCAGUCUGCAACUCGACUGCGUGAAGGUGGAGUCGCUAGUAAUCGCGGAUCAGCAACGCCGCGGUGAAUACGUUCCCGGGCCUUGUACACACCGCCCGUCAAGCCAUGGAAGCCGGGAGUGCCUGAAGUGUGCAACCGCAAGGAGCGCCCUAAGGUAAAACUGGUGACUGGGGCUAAGUCGUAACAAGGUAAC